AUAUAAGUGAGUGUUUGAGGAGUGUAUGUCCAUCUCAUCAACACUGCAAGAACACAGAUGGAGGGUAUCAGUGUUUUGACAGCUGUCCAUCAGGAAUGACUCAGGCUCAGAGCUGUGUGUGUGGAUGUAGACGAGUGUAAAGACGGCAGUCACAUGUGUCGCUACAGCCAAAUCUGCCAAAACACACUCUGUGGAUAUGUGUGUGUGUGUCCAAGAGGCUACCGCUUUCAGGGUGUGGGCAAACCGUGUGUAGAUGUUGAUGAGUGUGCACAGUCUCCAAGUCCGUGUGGGUAUCAGUGCCGAAGUCCCCCGGGGACUGUCCUUUUGGUGGACGGCCGGUUGUGUGCUGGACUCGAGAGAGAAAAUGUGUUUAGUAAUCGAACUUGGGUUCGAGCGGGACUUCAGCCCCAGUUGGUGUCCACAAGGGGUCAAACACUAAGACUGCCACAAUUCACACAGCAGGGGGCACCGUGGAGCAACUUACACACCUGCCCUCCUGGUUAUACAAGCAAAGCCGGUAGCUGUGUGGGGUAUCAGCUGAUGUACCUCUUCAUGUGUGACUGUUGGACUCCAUUCAGGUCACAUGACCAUGCAAAGUUCAAUAUAUUCACACAUUCAUUUGGUAAAUUACAUUUACCAAACCAAAUGUGCUUUAACACGAGGGGGAGUUAUCAGUGUUUGGACACUCCAUGUCCUGCCAGCUAUCACAGAGGAGGUCCAGGACUGUGCUACAAGCCAUGUUCUCAUGGGUGUGCUGCAGGAUCGUCUCUCCUCCUUCAGUAUAAACUCAUCACACUUCCUCUGGGAAUUCCAGCUUUACACAACGUCAUCUGACUGUCAGCAUUUUCGGAGUUUGGUGUUUUUCAGGAGAGAACAUUAUUCACCAUCCUCAAACAAAAUGGAGAGAUUACAGAACAGCUGUUUGGGAUUAAAGACGAGGCUUUAAGAGGAAUCAUCUUUACCACUCGCUCUUUAAAUCAGUCUGGUCUAGUGAAUCUGAAGGUCUAAGCAACCACACUCAACCAGCAAGGACAAAUCACUUACCAGAGUUUAUUUAUUAUCUACAUCUCAAUUUCUGCUUAUCCAUUCUGAUCCCUCAAUCUCCAGUUAUUCACACGUAUCCCUCCACCUCCACUCGUCCACACUGGUCCAUCAUUAGUUAGCGUUUAUGUUACCAAAACUGAUUUCAUUAAAAAAAAAAAAAAAAUUUUAUUGGUUGAAUAUUUUUCCGAUUCUUUGUUAUUAUAAGAUUGUUUGUCAGAAUUGCAUCAG